rnacentral:rRNA from 1 species
UACGUAGGCAGCGAGCGUUGUUCGGAGUUACUGGGCGUAAAGCGUGCUAGAGCGGUGGUCCAAGUCUGGUGUGAAAUCUCCCGGCUUAACUGGGAGGGUGCGCCGGAAACUGGGCCGCUGGAGUACGGGAGAGGCAAGCGGAAUUCCAGGUGUAGCGGUGAAAUGCGCAGAUAUCGGGAGGAACACCUAUGGCGAAGGCAGCUCGCUGGGACGUUACUGACGCUGAGACGCGAAAGCGUGGGGAGCAAACAGG